rnacentral:tRNA from 1 species
WAWAUUUUGGUGUAUGGUGCACGAAAAUUUUUGAUAUUUUAGGAUAUAGUUUAAUUCUGUAAAAUAUAA